rnacentral:rRNA from 1 species
AUUGAACGCUGGCGGCAGGCUUAACACAUGCAAGUCGAGCGGGGUGAUGGUGCUUGCACUAUCACUUAGCGGCGGACGGGUGAGUAAUGCUUAGGAAUCUGCCUAUUAGUGGGGGACAACAUCUCGAAAGGGAUGCUAAUACCGCAUACGUCCUACGGGAGAAAGCAGGGGAUCACUUGUGACCUUGCGCUAAUAGAUGAGCCUAAGUCGGAUUAGCUAGUUGGUGGGGUAAAGGCCUACCAAGGCGACGAUCUGUAGCGGGUCUGAGAGGGUGAUCCGCCACCCUGGGCCUGAGACCCGGCCCAGACUCCUACGGGAGGCAGAAGUGGGGAAUAUUGGACAAUGGGGGGAACCCUGAUCCAGCCAUGCCGCGUGUGUGAAGAAGGCCUUAUGGUUGUAAAGCACUUUAAGCGAGGAGGAGGCUCUUUUGGUUAAUACCCAAGAUGAGUGGACGUUACUCGCAGAAUAAGCACCGGCUAACUCUGUGCCAGCAGCCGCCGUAA